rnacentral:rRNA from 1 species
UUUAAAGUCUGACCUGCCCAAUGAUAAGUUUAAUGGCCGCAGUAUAUUGACUGUGCAAAGGUAGCAUAAUCAUUAGUUUUUUAAUUGAAAGCUAGAAUGAAUGGUUUGAUGAAAAAAUAACUGUCUAUAUUUUAAUUUAAUAAAAUUUUAUUUUUAAGUUAAAAAGCUUAAAUAAUUUAAAAAGACGAGAAGACCCUAUAGAUCUUAAUUUUUAAAAAAUUAUUAAUAUUUAGAGUUGAAUAAUAAAAAUUUAGAAAAAAUUUUAUUGGGGUGAUAUUAAAAUUAAUGAAACUUUUAUUUUUUAAUAAUAUUGAAUAAAUAGUAAUUUGAUCCUAAGUUUUAGAUUAAAAGAAAAAGUUACCUUAGGGAUAACAGCGUAAUUUUUUUUAAGAGUUCUUAUCGAAAAAAAAGAUUGCGACCUCGAUGUUGGAUUAAAGUUAAAUUUUGGUGUAGAAGUUAAAAUUUUAAGUCUGUUCGACUUUUAAAACUUUACA